rnacentral:rRNA from 1 species
GGGGGCCUCGCCUCCAGGGAAAUGUAGUGUUUGGGAGGGUCCAUACACCCGAUACCGUCGCACUGCGUCCAAGUCCAUCUUGAAAGAGGCCACGGUCCCGAGAGGGUGCCAGGCCCGUGGUAGGCCAGUGCAGGUGUUGGGUGGACCUCUCCUCAGAGUCAGGUUGCUUGAGAGUGCAGCCCUAAGCGGGUGGUAAACUCCAUCUAAGGCUAAAUACAACCACGAGACCGAUAGCGAACAAGUACCGUGAGGGAAAGUUGAAAAGAACUUUGAAGAGAGAGUUCAAGAGUACGUGAAACCGCUCAGGGGUAAACGGAAAAGACCCGAAAUUUCCGAAGAGGGAGAUUCACGUCUUCUCGCGGGUUCGACGCAUCCAUUCCUCUCCGACGACCCUGCCCCCGCUCGGACUCGUCCGGUGCGUGGCGGUCGGGUUGCAGAGGGUGGUGUGGAGGCCUGCGGCGGACCGCACUUCUCCCUUAGUAGGACGUCGUGACCCGUCCGUUCAUGGUCAUAAGAGUGUUGGGUGGAGCCUGUCCGAUCGUGUUCGCACGUCUUCGGGCAGACCCCUGCGCUCUGGCCAUGAAUUUCGGUCGGUAUCGAAUGACAGUGUUAGGUCGCUUGCCGGCGGAGGAAACUCCUGCCAGUGAGUGCGUGUGGCUCUCGACAAGGUGCCGGGAUGUUGGGUCAAGGCGGGCUCCCGUCCGUCCGGCCCCACUCGGCCCUGUUGGUCUUGUUGCUCUCACGCUGGCCAAUUCUAUACGACACUCGUCUACGGCGAAUCAGUUUUGGGCUCUUGUCCGACCCGUCUUGAAACACGGACCAAGGAGUUCAGCGUGUACGCGAGUCAUUGGGUGAAAAAACCCAAAGGCGUAAUGAAAGUGAAGGGAACUUUACGUUUCUGAGGGAGGAUGAGUCGGUUACCCGCAAGGGGCUGCUCCGCACUCCCGGGGCGUCUCUUUCUCAUUGCGAGUGGAGGCGCACCCAGAGCGUACACGCUGAUACCCGAAAGAUGGUGAACUAUGCCUGGCCAGGACGAAGCCAGGGGAAACCCUGGUGGAGGUCCGCAGCGAUUCUGACGUGCAAAUCGAUCGUCGGAGCUGGGUAUAGGGGCGAAAGACCAAUCGAACCAUCUAGUAUUUCUUGAACUUUGUUUUUUUGAAGCCGGGGGCUCGGAUCAGAGUGCCAAGUGGGCCAAUUUUGGUAAGCAGAACUGGCGCUGUGGGAUGAACCAAACGUCGAGUUAAGGCGCCCAAAUCGACGCUCAUGUGAAACCAUGAAAGGCGUUGGUUGCUUAAGACAGCAGGACGGUGGCCAUGGAAGUCGGAAUCCGCUAAGGAGUGUGUAACAACUCACCUGCCGAAGCAACUAGCCCUGAAAAUGGAUGGCGCUGUAGCGUCGUGCCUAUACUCGACCGUCAACGGCAAAAGUGGCUGGCGGGCAACCGUCGGCCGUUAAGCCUUGACGAGUAGGAGGGCCGCGGCGGCGUGCGUAGAAGGGUCUGGGCGCGAGCCUGCCUGGAGCCGCCGUCGGUGCAGAUCUUGGUGGUAGUAGCAAAUACUCCAGCGAGGCCCUGGAGGACUGAUGUGGAGAAGGGUUUCUUGUGAACAGCUGUUGCACAAGAGUCAGUCGGUCCUAAGCCCUAGGAGAAAUCCGAAGCGAUGGGUUGCCGUUAAUAUUUCAAUAUAAUAUGAAGGCACCCGUUUGGGCGAAAGGGAAUCUGGUUCCUAUUCCAGAACCUGGCAGUGGAACCGUUCCAAUUCGGGCCCUCUGAGGACUCGUCAGGGCAACCUGAAUAGACCCGGAGACGCCGACAGGAGGUUGGGGGAGAGUUGUCUCUUCUCUAUAAGCGAUCGAGUUCCCUGGAAACUUCUAGCAAGGAGAUAGGGUUUGGAUCGCGAAGAGCACUGCAGUUACGGCAGUGUCCCAAUCUUCCUCUCGGACCUUGAAAAUCCGGGUGAGGGCCACGAGGAACCCCACGCCAGACCGUACCCAUAUCCGCAGCAGGUCUCCAAGGUGCAAAGCCUCUAGUCGAUAGAU